rnacentral:rRNA from 1 species
AUUGAACGCUGGCGGCAGGCCUAACACAUGCAAGUCGAGCGAGCGGCGGAGGGGUGAGUAAUGCCUGGGAAUUGCCCAGUCGAGGGGGAUAACAGUUGGAAACGACUGCUAAUACCGCAUACGAUUUGAUUGCCCAGGUGGGAUUAGCUAGUUGGUGAGUUAGUGGCUCACAAAGGCGACGAUCCCUAGCUGGUCUGAGAGGAUGAUCAGCCACACUGGGACGGAGACACGGUCCAGACUCCUACGGGAGGCAGCAGUGGGGAAUAUUGGACAAUGGGGGAAACCCUGAUGCAGCCAUGCCGCGUGAGUGAAGAAGGCUUUCGGGUUGUAAAGCACUUUCAGCGAGGAGGCGUUACUCGCAGAAGAAGCAACGGCUAACUCCGUGCCAGCAGCCGCGGUAAUUC